UUAUUUGUGAGUUGUUGUCUUAUCAGUUCGUUACGCACUUAUAUUAAUUUCUUCUAUAGCCUACCCCAACACCUAAGCGUCCUAAUGAAGAUGAACUUGGAGAUUCUGAUGAGGAAAGUGUACGUUCGAAAAAAAAGUACGUCGACGAGCAGUCGGUUCGGAAUUGGAAAGAUCUGCAAAGAUCCCAACCAUCAUCAUCUACCCAAAGAACCUACUGUAACUGACAAAGAACGCGAAGAUAUUCUAAAAUUUGUAGAAAAUGUUGUUACAGAGAUGAUAUUAUAUUAUAUUGCUGACAUUAAUUCGGCAAAUGAAAAUGGUUCCAAAAAGUAUCUGUGAUUAGGGCAAGACCAAUCUUGAUUGUCAAUGUGGGAUGCUAGCUCAACAGUAUCUGGACUGUAUUUUUUGAUGAAAUGAAUAAUCCAAUCAUAAUGGUUAUCAAACACAGACGAAGGUGAGUAAGUUUUGUUAAAUUUACGCAUAUGUGACCAAAUAAUUGAAAUAGGUGUAGUUCUGUUAAAGGAUUCACAUAAUUUGUAACAACCUAAUCUUCUUUCAGAUCUAAUUAUGUAUUUCUUCUUAGCUUGAAGCUUUUUAUAGUUUAUAUAAUUCUCAUCACUUGGGUCUUCUUUGAAUUGGAGGUGAUAGCUGCCUAAUGGAUCGUCGAAGACCAUCCAGUCACCUUGUAAAGAGAUGGAAGGAGAGACUAUGUUUAAAUCCAAGACAUUAGGUCUCCAUAUGUGAGAGCCGACUGUAGUAACAUGACCAUCAUUUAGUAGGACUAAAUUGUUUUUAUGAAUGACAUCUAAAAUGUCUUUGCCCCUGCAAUCAGAGGUUUGGCUGCCCCAAACUAUAUUAUGACAGUUCCCCCUCAAUAUUGAUAUAGAUUCAAAAUUGACAUAAUAAUAUAAAUGUGACAAUCCCCCGCCAAGAAAAUUGGUUGAGGGAGGCUUUUAAUUAAAUUAUUCAGUUUAUGUGGUGAAAAAGGAGGGCUGCAAUUACCUGGGCUGUAAAGGCUUACAAUAGUUAAUUCCUUGCAAUUUGAAUAUUUAAUUCUAAUAGCUAUAUUUUGAAGAGAAUUAUCAUAAACAGUAUUUACAUUAGAGUAAGAGAUAGAUCUAUGUACAAGUAUGGCUACACCAUUGUGAGAGUUUCCUGAGUGUAGUCUUACUAUAUCGAAAUUAUGCAAUUUAAAUUUAUGAUGAGAUUUAAGCCAAGUCUCGCAAAGAAUGGCCACAUGAAUAUUGUUAUCAAAAAGAAAAUGGUUGAAAAUAUGUUGAUUGUGCAAUAUACUCUGAGCAUUCCACUGUACUAUAUUUAAAGUAUCCAUUAGGAUAUAAUUAAAGAUUGUUUACUAUUCUGCUUUUUGAAAGAAUCUUUUAAAACAUCGUUUUAUGGUUUCAGAGCAAAUUUUGGAUUCAUUGGUCCUGUUGAGGGUGAUUAAUUUAACAAGUGAUUCAGUAAUGGUUUUAAGUAUUAUUUCUGAAUUGAGUAAUGAAAGAAAUUGGUCUGUUUUACUAUGUGAGGGAAAAUUAGUGCUAUUAAGAGCUUGUGCAUAACUUUUAUUUUGAAAUUUAUCCUUAGUUUGCUGAAUUUUUUCUUUUUUGAUAGGGCAAAUAGAAGAUAUUGAAAUAUGGUUCCCUUUACAAUGGCAACAAGAGGCCUCUUUGGGGUUAACGUUGCAAGAUUUAAAGUUGUGACCUUCUCCACAGAUGGAGCACCUUUCAGCGUAUUUACAAAAUUUGGCGAUGUGACCAUAUUAUCUCAAGCCACGGAGGCACUGUUUUACUGGAGGUAUGUAGGCACGAACUUCAAAUCUCCAACUAUUCAAGUCAACACUCUCAGGUAAGUUUGGACAAGAGAAUGUGAUGGACACAGUUUUUGUAGGUUUAUAUUUGAUGUUACUGUUCUCGGUAAUCCUACGCAUGAAGCGUUUGAUCGAGACUAUAUUUUUUGUGCUGGUCACGCGCUAUAAAUCUCUUUGUUUGAAAGAUCUAUUGGCACGUGACUAAUAACGCCAGUUGUUUCUGUUGCGGCAGCUGGUAUACUAGCGUAGAGUUUGUGGUUAACCAGAAACUUUUUAUUGCUUAGAGCUGCAUUAGCCAAAGCUGGUCUCUCAAAUAUCACUCCUACUUUUGCUUUGUUGAUUCUUUUUAAUUGUUUUACGCCUUUAUUGUAUCGUUUUAUUGCGUUGGUGAGUGACAUCAUAUCUCUCGAGCCAAUUGGUUUGUCUUUGUCAGUGUUUUCUAGAAAGACAAUAUAUUCGAAAUUGCCACCAUCUUCAGGAUAGAAACGGACAUAAUUCGGUAAUUUAAAUGAAAUAUACUUAUCAGUAUCUUCCUCAGAAAUGAUGGAGUCCGACUCAGAGUCCCGCACCGCGGCGCUUUCCUCGGAGUCUCCCUCGACAUCUUCUUUUUUCUUACGCCCUUUUCUACCGCGGGACAUCGCGGCAACAAUCACACUUUAUAACCUACCCCAACACCUAAGCGUCCUAAUGAAGAUGAACUUGGAGAUUCUGAUGAGGAAAGUGUACGUUCGAAAAAAAAGUACGUCGACGAGCUUCAGGAUAGAAACGGACAUAAUUCGGUAAUUUAAAUGAAAUAUACUUAUCAGUAUCUUACUCAGAAAUGAUGGAGUCCGACUCAGAGUCCCGCACCGCAGCGCUUUCCUCGGAGUCUCCCUCGACAUCUUUUUUCUUACGCCCUUUUCUACCGCGGGACAUCGCGGCAACAAUCACACUUUAUAAGUAAAUAAAACUUU